rnacentral:rRNA from 1 species
UACAGAGAGUGCAAGCGUUAAUCGGAAUUACUGGGCGUAAAGCGCGCGUAGGUGGAUGUUUAAGUCGAAUGUGAAAGCCCUGGGCUUAACCUGGGAAUUGCGUCCGAUACUGGACAUCUUGAGUAUGGUAGAGGGAAGUGGAGUUUCCGGUGUAGCGGUGAAAUGCGUAGAUAUCGGAAAGAACAUCAGUGGCGAAGGCGACUUCCUGGACCAAUACUGACACUGAGGCGCGAAAGCGUGGGGAGCAAACAGG